AUAUGAAGGUGCAAGCUAACUGUAAUAACCUUGUAGGGUUAGACGAGACAGUUAAGACGCAAUUAUUUUUAAAUAUUUACAAUUUUACAUAUGAGAUAUCAGUACUUGCUCCGAGCGGCUACAGAAAGAUCAUACAUUGUACUUCUUAUUAAAUGUCUUCCAUUCAUUCACAAUUUUUGAAGAACAGCAAUGACCAUGCAUUAGGUUUUUAGAUAACCAAGAAACAAAAUUUCAUUAAACAUGUCAAAAAGUUUGGGGGGGGGGAUAAUUAGAUAUUCGUCCCCCCCUACUCCAAAAACUGCGGGACAUGCCCCCCCAUCCCCAAGGAUUGACGCCCAUGCCCAUGUAUUUUUCUGUUUAUUAUAGAAAGGGCAACAAUUUUGCCAGGGAAUGUCCGACUGGCUAUCCCUGUGAUGCUGUCCACUGUUUACCCAGUGUUCUUUUAAGCAAAUGUGCUAGCUGCUCAAAAAUGCAAAAUCUUUCAAGCCUGUGGAUACAAUACUGAAGUGAAAAGCUUCAGUAGAUUUACAUGCAAGAAUAUUUUUUUGAGCGCCCCUUUUUGCAUGAUAUUUUUUUUCUCGAUUGUAUGCUGCAUGAUUUUUUCUUUCUUUCUCCUUGGGUUGCAGGAAUAUUUUUUUUGAAAUCUUC